ACGUUUUAUUUCAAGACCACAUUCUUAUGAGCCUGGUUCUGUGGUGUUCCAAUAUGCUCUCAUUAGGACUGCAUUAAAAGAUGAAAUAUGACAAAUAUUAAAAAGCGUGGGAAUAUAGAGUAAAGCAUGGUGAGUGUACUUUUGUGGGCAACUCUGCUGCAAUUAAAUUUUCGCAAAGCAAGCCUGGUUUUGCAAUAUGGAGAAAUAAAAUAACCAGGCAAGUAUUUCACUGAAACAGACCCAAUAUGUUCAAUUUCUUCAUCCAACCUCCUAAAAUACAUAAGCUUAGUUAGAAUUUCUACUAAAAUAGGAAAGCUGAUAUUGGACCUGCUUAUGAUGAAGUAUGCUGUUCAAUUAUAGGAGAAAGAAAGUCCUAUUUGAGAAAAGUAUUAACACCAUGAGAAUAUAUUGAUCAAAUUUUUAUUUGAUAGUUUACAUCUGCACUUGAAUGGCUGGUGGUGGGAGCUCUCCUCUGUUCCACCAGAAACACCUGUUUUGGCUCAAGCAGCCUCAGGAGUUGCAUAUAAUGUAUUCCAUAUAAAAUGCCAUUUAAACAGUAACAAGGGUUUGGUUUAUUUUCCAACUGGAUAGAUGAUAAUUGAAAUGGAAGCUCAGUUUAUCCUUUGCAGUUUGCUGAUAAUAUCAGUGAAAUUAACUUUGAUGUGGUGCCCGUACUUACAAAAAGGCUAUGUGCGGGAAAGGCGGCUGAUAGAUCCCACCAUGGUCCGAGCAGUUAAACACAUUUUCUUCCUCCCCUUUACUCCAGCUCACAACUGUGAAUCACUUCCUGGUGUCCCAGCUAAAGGAAGUUUCUUCAGAGAUAUAACAUCAGAUAUGACUUGAAAGACUGGCAAAAACAGAUGAAAGAGAAGUUUCUUUCCAAACCCUGGCUGUCAGCUUAAGUUACAAGUGCUUUUUGUGAAAUAUUGUUGGUUAAAGUGCUUAGGUGUUUAAAUAGAAAAUUUGCAUAGAAAGUAUCUUUUUCAUAAGAGCCCUUCUGCUUAACAAAAUGGUUCUUAUCAGAGAACAAGUCUGUCCUUGC
ensembl:lncRNA